rnacentral:tRNA from 1 species
UCCUGGGUGGCUCAGUCAGUUAAGCAUCUGACUUUGGCUCAGGUCAUGAUCUCAUGGUUCAUGGGUUCAAGCCCCAUGUCAGGUU